UACGUAGGUGGCGAGCGUUGUCCGGAUUUACUGGGCGUAAAGAGCGCGCAGGCGGCUGGUCAAGUCCGAUGUGAAAGCUCCCGGCUUAACUGGGAAAUUGCAUCGGAAACUGAUCGGCUGGAAGGUGGGAGAGGGUAGCGGAAUUCCCGGUGUAGUGGUGAAAUGCGUAGAUAUCGGGAGGAACAUCCGUGGCGAAGGCGGCCACCUGGACCAACAUUGACGCUGAGGCACGAAAGCGUGGGGAGCAAACAGG
rnacentral:rRNA from 1 species